rnacentral:rRNA from 1 species
GGAUGCGAUCAUACCAGCACUAAAGCACCGGAUCCCAUCAGAACUCCGAAGUUAAGCGUGCUUAGGCGAGAGUAGUACUAGGAUGGGUGACCUCCUGGGAAGUCCUCGUGUUGCAUUCC